rnacentral:tRNA from 1 species
GGAGGAGUGGCCGAGCGGUCGAAGGCACCGGUCUUGAAAACCGGCGUGGCAGCGAUGCCACCGUGGGUUCGAAUCCCACCUCCUCCGCCA